rnacentral:rRNA from 1 species
UUCCAGACUCCUACGGGAGGCAGCAGUGGGGAAUAUUGCACAAUGGGGGAAACCCUGAUGCAGCGACGCCGCGUGAGCGAAGAAGUACCUCGGUAUGUAAAGCUCUAUCAGCAGGGAAGAAGAUGACGGUACCUGACUAGGAAGCCCCGGCUAACUACGUGCCAGCAGCCGCGGUAAUACGUAGGGGGCAAGCGUUAUCCGGAUUUACUGGGUGUAAAGGGAGCGUAGACGGCUGUGCAAGCCAGAUGUGAAAGCCCGGGGCUCAACCCCGGGACUGCAUUUGGAACUGUGUGACUGGAGUGUCGGAGAGGCAGGCGGAAUUCCUAGUGUAGCGGUGAAAUGCGUAGAUAUUAGGAGGAACACCAGUGGCGAAGGCGGCCUGCUGGACGAUGACUGACGUUGAGGCUCGAAAGCGUGGGGAGCAAACAGGAUUAGAUACCCCUGUAGA